rnacentral:rRNA from 1 species
GGGGCAGGGUGAGUCGGCCCCUAAGGCGAGGCUGAAAAGCGUAGUCGAUGGGAAACGGGUUAAUAUUCCCGUACUUGGUAAAGCUGCGAUGUGGGGACGGAGAAGGUUAGGUUAGCAGACUGUUGGAUGUCUGUUUAAGUUGGUAGGUGGGGAGUUUAGGCAAAUCCGGACUUCCAUAACACUGAGAGAUGAUGACGAGUUUCUACGGAAAUGAAGUAACUGAUACCACGCUUCCAGGAAAAGCCACUAAGCGAAAGGCUUUACUAAACCGUACUGAAAACCGACACAGGUGGUCAGGUAGAGAAUACUCAGGCGCUUGAGAGAACUCGGGUGAAGGAACUAGGCAAAAUAGCACCGUAACUUCGGGAGAAGGUGCGCUGGCGUAGGUUGUAGGAGUAUACCUCCGAAGGCUGAACCAGUCGAAGAUACCAGCUGGCUGCAACUGUUUAUUAAAAACACAGCACUCUGCAAACACGAAAGUGGACGUAUAGGGUGUGAUGCCUGCCCGGUGCUGGAAGGUUAAUUGAUGGUGUAAUCGAAAGAGAAGCUCCUGAUCGAAGCCCCAGUAAACGGCGGCCGUAACUAUAACGGUCCUAAGGUAGCGAAAUUCCUUGUCGGGUAAGUUCCGACCUGCACGAAUGGCAUAAUGAUGGCCAGGCUGUCUCCACCCGAGACUCAGUGAAAUUGAAAUCGCCGUGAAGAUGCGGUGUACCCGCGGCUAGACGGAAAGACCCCGUGAACCUUUACUAUAGCUUGACACUGAACAUUGAAUUUUGAUGUGUAGGAUAGGUGGGAGCCUAAGAAGCAGUCACGCCAGUGAUUGUGGAGGCGUCCUUGAAAUACCACCCUUUAACGUUUGAUGUUCUAACGAAGAUUGCGAAACGCGGUCUCGGACAGUGUCUGGUGGGUAGUUUGACUGGGGCGGUCUCCUCCCAAAGAGUAACGGAGGAGCACGAAGGUUUGCUAAUCACGGUCGGACAUCGUGAGGUUAGUGCAAUGGUAUAAGCAAGCUUAACUGCGAGACAGACAAGUCGAGCAGGUGCGAAAGCAGGUCAUAGUGAUCCGGUGGUUCUGAAUGGAAGGGCCAUCGCUCAACGGAUAAAAGGUACUCCGGGGAUAACAGGCUGAUACCGCCCAAGAGUUCAUAUCGACGGCGGUGUUUGGCACCUCGAUGUCGGCUCAUCACAUCCUGGGGCUGAAGUAGGUCCCAAGGGUAUGGCUGUUCGCCAUUUAAAGUGGUACGCGAGCUGGGUUUAGAACGUCGUGAGACAGUUCGGUCCCUAUCUGCCGUGGGCGUUGGAGAAUUGAGAGGGGCUGCUCCUAGUACGAGAGGACCGGAGUGGACGCAUCACUGGUGUACCAGUUGUCUCGCCAGAGGCACUGCUGGGUAGCUAAAUGCGGAAGAGAUAAGUGCUGAAAGCAUCUAAGCACGAAACUCGCCUUAAGAUGAGUUCUCCCACACAAUAAGUGUGUAAGGGUUGUUGGAGACGACGACGUAGAUAGGUCUGGUGUGUAAGCGGUGUGAGCCGUUGAGCUAACAGAUACUAAUUGCCCGAGAGGCUUAACUAUACAACCUCAAGCGUU